rnacentral:rRNA from 1 species
GUGGGGAAUAUUCCGCAAUGGACGAAAGUCUGACGGAGCAACGCCGCGUGAGUGAUGAAGGUUUUCGGACUGUAAAGCUCUGUUGUUUAGGACGAAAGUGCCUGUUGCGAAUAGUUACAGGUAUUGACGGUACUGAACGAGGAAGCCACGGCUAACUACGUGCCAGCAGCCGCGGUAAUACGUAGGUGGCAAGCGUUGUCCGGAAUUAUUGGGCGUAAAGAGCAUGUAGGCGGGAAUCUAAGUCUGUUGUGAAAAUGCGGGGCUCAACCCCGUAUUGCGAUGGAAACUGGGUUUCUUGAGUGCAGGAGAGGAAAGGGGAAUUCCCAGUGUAGCGGUGAAAUGCGUAGAUAUUGGGAGGAACACCAGUGGCGAAGGCGCCUUUCUGGACUGUGUCUGACGCUGAGAUGCGAAAGCCAGGGUAGCGAACGGGAUUAGAAACCCGUGUAGUCC